rnacentral:sRNA from 1 species
AAUUAAAAUUCAGUGGCAGCCAUUGUAAAUAAGUCUCAACUUUAGGAUUUAUUUCACAAAAUGGUUAAAAAAUGUAUAUGUAGAUCACCAAUUACGAAAAUAAACUAAUAAACAUUGUGAAUUCAAACAAUUAAUCUU